GCUCGUAUAGCUCAGUCGGUAGAGCGCAUCCAUGGUAAGGAUGAGGUCAUCGGUUCAAUCCCGGUUACGAGCU
rnacentral:tRNA from 1 species